CGAACGGUGACCUCGAGAGCUUGCUCUUGGGUGAUCAGUGGCGAACGGGUGAGUAACACGUGAGUAACCUGCCCCAGACUCUGGAAUAACCCCGGGAAACCGGAGCUAAUACCGGAUACGAGACGGAGCCGCAUGGCUACCGUUUGGAAAGUUUUUCGGUCUGGGAUGGACUCGCGGCCUAUCAGCUAGUUGGUGAGGUAACGGCUCACCAAGGCGACGACGGGUAGCCGGUCUGAGAGGGCGACCGGCCACACUGGGACUGAGACACGGCCCAGACUCCUACGGGAGGCAGCAGUGGGGAAUAUUGCACAAUGGGCGAAAGCCUGAUGCAGCGACGCCGCGUGAGGGAUGAAGGCCUUCGGGUUGUAAACCUCUUACAGCAGGGAAGAAGCGAAAGUGACGGUACCUGCAGAAGAAGCACCGGCUAACUACGUGCCAGCAGCCGCGGUAAUACGUAGGGUGCGAGCGUUGUCCGGAAUUAUUGGGCGUAAAGAGCUUGUAGGCGGUUUGUCGCGUCUGCCGUGAAAAUCCGAGGCUCAACCUCGGACUUGCGGUGGGUACGGGCAGACUAGAGUGUGGUAGGGGAGACUGGAAUUCCUGGUGUAGCGGUGAAAUGCGCAGAUAUCAGGAGGAACACCGAUGGCGAAGGCAGGUCUCUGGGCCACUACUGACGCUGAGAAGCGAAAGCGUGGGGAGCGAACAGGAUUAGAUACCCUGGUAGUCCACGCCGUAAACGUUGGGAACUAGGUGUGGGCCUCAUUCCACGAGGUCUGUGCCGCAGCUAACGCAUUAAGUUCCCCGCCUGGGGAGUACGGCCGCAAGGCUAAAACUCAAAGGAAUUGACGGGGGCCCGCACAAGCGGCGGAGCAUGUGGAUUAAUUCGAUGCUACGCGAAGAACCUUACCAAGGCUUGACAUAUACCGGAAACACCCAGAGAUGGGUGCCCCGCAAGGUCGGUAUACGUGGUGCAUGGUUGUCGUCAGCUCGUGUCGUGAGAUGUUGGGUUAAGUCCCGCAACGAGCGCAACCCUCGUUCUAUGUUGCCAGCGCGUAAAGGCGGGGACUCAUAGGAGACUGCCGGGGUCAACUCGGAGGAAGGUGGGGAUGACGUCAAAUCAUCAUGCCCCUUAUGUCUUGGGCUUCACACAUGCUACAAUGGCCGGUACAAAGGGCUGCGAAAUCGCAAGAUGGAGCGAAUCCCAAAAAACCGGUCUCAGUUCGGAUUGGGGUCUGCAACUCGACCCCAUGAAGUCGGAGUCGCUAGUAAUCGCAGAUCAGCAACGCUGCGGUGAAUGCGUUCCCGGGCCUUGUACACACCGCCCGUCAAGUCACGAAAGUCGGUAACACCCGAAGCCGGUGGCCCAACCCCUUGUGGGAGGGAGCCGUCGAAGGUGGGACUGGCGAUUGGGACUAAGUCGGAACAAGGUA
rnacentral:rRNA from 1 species